rnacentral:rRNA from 1 species
GUACGUAGGGGGCAAGCGUUGUCCGGAUUUAUUGGGCGUAAAGAGCGUGUAGGCGGUUUUACAGGUCCGCUGAUGAAACUCGAGGCUCAACCUCGAGCUGUCGGUGGAAACCGUAAGGCUAGAGUCCGGAAGAGGAGAGUGGAAUUCCUGGAUGUAGCGGUGAAAUGCGCAGAUAUCAGGAAGAACACCCGUGGCGGAAGGCGGCUCUCUGGGACGGUAACUGGACGCUGAGACGCGAAAGCCGUGGGGAGCGAACAGG